rnacentral:rRNA from 1 species
AGCGAACGCUGGCGGCAGGCCUAACACAUGCAAGUCGAACGAACUCUUCGGAGUUAGUGGCGGACGGGUGAGUAACACGUGGGAACGUGCCUUUAGGUUCGGAAUAACUCAGGGAAACUUGUGCUAAUACCGAAUGUGCCCUUCGGGGUAAAGAUUUAUCGCCUUUAGAGCGGCCCGCGUCUGAUUAGCUAGUUGGUGAGGUAAAGGCUCACCAAGGCGACGAUCAGUAGCUGGUCUGAGAGGAUGAUCAGCCACAUUGGGACUGAGACACGGCCCAAACUCCUACGGGAGGCAGCAGUGGGGAAUCUUGCGCAAUGGGCGAAAGCCUGACGCAGCCAUGCCGCGUGAAUGAUGAAGGUCUUAGGAUUGUAAAAUUCUUUCACCGGGGACGAUAAUGACGGUACCCGGAGAAGAAGCCCCGGCUAACUUCGUG